rnacentral:snRNA from 1 species
GCGGGGUACAACCCCUGU